AUUGAACGCUGGCGGCAUGCUUUACACAUGCAAGUCGAACGGUAACAGGCCUUCGGGUGCUGACGAGUGGCGAACGGGUGAGUAAUGCAUCCGAACGUGCCCCGAGGCUGGGGAUAACGCAGCGAAAGCUGUGCUAAUACCGCAUGUGAUCUGAUGAUGAAAGCGGGGGACCAGGCAGCAAUGUUUGGCCUCGCGCCUUUGGAGCGGCCGAUGUCAGAUUAGGUAGUUGGUGGGGUAAAGGCCUACCAAGCCGACGAUCUGUAGCUGGUCUGAGAGGACGACCAGCCACACUGGGACUGAGACACGGCCCAGACUCCUACGGGAGGCAGCAGUGGGGAAUUUUGGACAAUGGGCGCAAGCCUGAUCCAGCAAUGCCGCGUGCGGGAAGAAGGCCUUCGGGUUGUAAACCGCUUUUGUACGGAACGAAAAGGCUCUGGCUAAUACCUGGGGCUGAUGACGGUACCGUAAGAAUAAGCACCGGCUAACUACGUG
rnacentral:rRNA from 1 species